rnacentral:rRNA from 1 species
UACGUAGGAUGCAAGCGUUGUCCGGAUUUAUUGGGCGUAAAGAGCGUGUAGGCGGCCAGACAGGUCCGUUGUGAAAACUCGAGGCUCAACCUCGAGACGCCGAUGGAAACCGUCUGGCUAGAGUCCGGAAGAGGAGAGUGGAAUUCCUGGUGUAGCGGUGAAAUGCGCAGAUAUCAGGAAGAACACCAAUGGCGAAGGCAGCUCGCUGGGACGGUACUGACGCUGAGGCGCGAAAGCGUGGGGAGCAAACAGG